rfam:Peptostreptococcaceae bacterium oral taxon 113 str. W5053 genomic scaffold Scaffold46, whole genome shotgun sequence.
CACACUGCGAGAUAUGAGCGAGAAGAAACAAUAAUGAAACCGCAACCUGACGAACAAAAACCUAAUAUGAAAGUUUAAGUGACAGAUACACGAGCAAGAAAUCGUGAAGUCCACUAGGCAAGAUGUAACUCGCUUAAAUAGAUUAGGUAAACGAGGAAAUAUUAAAGG